AUGGCCAAGUCAGGUCCUCUUACUCUUCGGCGGAGGGAGGUAUUUCCAGCCCCUGCGACGGGACCUGGGUGCUCAGGACAGCUCUGUCCCCCAGUGAUAGUGACUGCUUGGCCAGGGGUCUUGGGCUCACAGAGUCCUUUGAUCCUCCAAGCCCCCGUGGCAAGAGGCCAUACAGGGAUGGGAGUCCACGCUGCUACCCACGGUAUAUGCAGAACCCCAGGUGAGUCCCAUGGAAGACGGAAGGGACGUCACAAUUUUCACUCUGAAGCAAAGGAAAAUGGCUGUCAUAUGUGACUAUAGGAGGGGACAGAGCCUGACCACCCUUCUGGGUUGGGGAGCAUGGAUACACAGAAUCCAGGGAGAGAAGCUUAGGGAUUGUCUGACCUCCCAAAGUGCAUUAAGCCAGAGUCUGGGUCAAAUGCCAGGUCUUGGCCAUGUGACUGAGAAGGCGCCAACUUGCAACUCUGCAGAGGAGGAGGAGAAAGGGAGGAAGAGAAGGGAUACUUAGAAGUCCUCAUUAUUAGAACAGGCUAGCUGGGCUCAGCAGGUGGGUAGAAACUAUUGGGAGCCUGGAGUAUCGGCUUGCCAGACCUAAAAAAAAAGCGGCAACCCAAGGAAAGUGAUUGGAUUUAUUUGGAAAAUUUCAAAGCACAAACUCAAAUCUGCAUAAGAUUACCAACAGCACAAUUUUGCUCAAUGUUAUUUUUAGGAGAACAUAAUACACAAAGCUGUGCUCAUUUCCCUCAGAAUUUUCCUGAAUAGUAUUAAUCGCUUAAGAAUUAGACGCCAUUUCUGGUUUUCCUUGUCACACCACCAUUUUGAAAUAUCCCAAGUCACAGGUAAGUGAGCCCCUCCCGGAUGAAAAGACAGCCCCAAGGGCAUCACGGGCCUGGGCAGGCAUGGCCACCCCGAGUGCUGCGGAGCGAGCCUGUUUGGUGGGAAGCAGGUCUGUCACUCUGGUGUGGAUACACUAAGAGACAGGAGUUCUGGGCUGUGUUCUGAUAAUGGACCCCUGGUGUUAAAAACCUUCAAAGCAAAACAAAAGCAAGCUAAUCCUGAAAUAUAUUUCACUUGAAGUUUUUGGAUGAUUUUUUUAAAGAUAAAAACGCUUAGGAUUAUUAUAAAUCAUAAUAUUUAUAAAUGAGUAAAAGUAUAUUUAGAAUAGUUUUGUCUACCUGAUUAAAUAUCUGUUUUGGUACAUGUAUAGCUGUGGAAAUUGUGGAUUUGUACUUGGACUGUUGACUUUUUGAGUGUGUCCCCCUUGACCCACUGUGUGCAGCCACAUCCUCAAGUGCAGCCUCCCUUCCGGUGGGCUUACAAGGGGAAGGAGACAGAGCAGGAAGGAGCUGAUGGCUGUAGAAUUGGGAGGUGGCGAUGUCCACACCACACUCACCUCGGUACAUCCAUCCAUGUGCUGUUCAUAAAUUCCUCCAAGACAAUUAGAUUCAGAGACUAUUAUUAAAUGACUUCUUAGCAUGACCCAGAAAUACAAAACACUCUUGUUUUUAAGAUUUUUUUUUGAAGAUUUUACUUAUUUAUUUGAGAGAGUGAGAGAGAGAGCAUGAGCAGGGGGGGAGAGGGAGAAGCAGGCUCCCCACUGAGCAGGGAGCCCGACGUGGGGCUCAAUCCCAGGACCCUGAGAUUGUGAUCUGAGCCAAAGGCAGACGCUUAACCCACUGAGCCACCCAGCACCCUAUUUUUAAAGAUUUUCAAGAAAUCUCUACAUGCAACAUGGGGCUCAAACUCACAACCCCAAUAUCAAGAGUCACCUGCAGUUACUGCCUGAGCCAGCCAGGCACCUCCUAACCCAAGGUUUUUAAAGGAGGCUUAAAUGGGGGUGGGGUGGGGGGGUAGGGCCUGCUGUUUCUCCCCUGGCUCAUGCUCUCUCAAAAAAAUAAAAUCUUAAAAAAAUAAAUAAAUAAAGGGGGCUUAAUGACAGCAACCCACUCUCUAGAUGUCUGUCCCAUAACCAGAGGCAAAGGGUGGGGGGCAGGUUGCCAGUGAAACUCAGCAACCUCCAGGCACAAAACCUACCACCUUUACCUGACCACCUCACCUGCCACCACUGAGAUCAUAAUCCUGGGUCCAAGCUGCAGCUGAGCCCCAGGGUCCAGCUGUGUGACUGGCUGGGGCCUCCCCAACAUACAGGGAGUUGUGAAGUGUCAACGCUGCCUCUAGAAUGUUUUCUCUUUGCUGCCUCCUUGACUGCUUGUCUGGCCUGCCCUGCUCCUUUUUAACACAGUACCCACAGCUCUGCAAAAUUAACAGCAGGGGACCUAAUUCCUUUGACAAAUACCAUUAAAUUAAAAAAAAAAAUAAGUUUUAAGGUUCCCAGCAAAACUGAGCAGAAAGGUCAGAGAGUUCGCAUAUACCCUCUGCCCGCCCCCCAGGCUCCCCUACUACUGACAUCCUGUGCCAGAGCGGACAGUACAAUUUUGAUUUUCUUCUGUGCUCUUCCGGCCAAAGAGCUACUACUCCUUGACCCUGCUGAGCCCUCCAGUAGCCUCUGCCCCACCCGGCUUCCAACACCUCCCUACAGCAUAUCCGUUACUGUCUUAUUACAGGGCAAGAAAUGACAUAUGUCCUAUGCACUUCCAGUGGUCAUUUCAGUUCUGUGAAGCCCUUCAAACUCCGUGGCUUCGUGGGGUCCUAACACAGCCCCAGGACACAGGUGGUAAAAAUAGGAUUACCCGCACUGUAGAGAGGAGGAAACAAGCCCAGAGAAGUCACAUGGCUUAAGCAGAUCCCAUAAUUCAUUGGUAACCAGAAACAGACCCUGGUACUUUCCAGAAGUCAUGCAGUGGCCCUGUUUGGCUAAAACUCUAAUUCCUUUUCCCUUUGACCAUUUACCACAUUUCCUAAUGUGAAAACAUAUGUGCCCUGUCUAGGGUGAGAGCCAGAUGCUGAAGUCCAACUGAAGUUACUGAGCCAACGGAAGAGUUCUUUGUCCUCUAUCAAAAAGCCAAUCUGCCUUCUCUCAGUAGCAGGUGUCCCUGGCCUUGCAGCCAGCUUGUGGGAAGGGGAAGUGCCGGCUCUCCAUGCAGCACAGGGAUGCUUUGCCUGCCCCGCCCCCCCAACCCCAUGAGUCCUGCACGGCCCAGCUGGAGAACAGCAUGGCACUUUGGGAGAGGGGAGGGAGGAUGAUGGCAGGGUUAAGUCUAUAGGAGCAUUUCAGCUCCGAACACCCAAGCUACAGGCCUGGGUGGAGUCGGACACUAGAGUAAAGGAAGACCCGGAAUCCUAAGACUGGAUGGUCAACAGCUUUCAGUUGAAAUCUAGAAGUUAGAAAGGGGAAGACCUGAAGCCAGAGCUUCCAGAGCUCCAUUAUGAGAGCUAGCCACGAUGCUCUGUGCUCACUGCUGGAAGCCGGACCCCUGUACUUGGGUAGAGAGGUACCGCUAAUCGUGACAGACAGUGACUGGAGGUGAAGAUAACAUGCUGUGGAAGGAGAAAAGAAAAAAAGCUCCUCUAUGUGAUUCUAUCACACAGAAGCCGAAACAGAAAAGGUUAUCAAGUCUAGAAAAGAAUAGAGAAGAGUCAUGUUACUGAGAAGACCAGAAAACGUGGGUGAAGGUAGUAAAGUGAAAUAAAAAGUCAUAUUCAGGAUAUCUUAAAACCACCAACUUCUUUAAUUAGAAAGCAACAAACAUGCAAAUGGCAAGUGUAGAAAUUUAUUUGAACCAACAUUUUCACUAUAAUGAAAAUUACUCUUCCACAUUGAUCCAAGCUCUCAUACCUGAAGGUUAGGGAAAAUAUUGCACUUUGCAUUUUCUAGCACGCCUCACACAUGGCAAAAAGUUUUUUAAACAUUUUGCUAGUUUUGUUUUACACACUCUUCCAAAUUCAUGCACACAAUCAUUCCAAACCAAUGUUAGGUUAUCCCGAAAAAAGGGAAAACUCCAAAACACCAUAACCUUAAAAUUGCACUAAAGCUCUGUAAAGAAAAAAAUAGAAUAAAUGUCUUCUACAAAUUUCAGAACAUCUAAG
rnacentral:lncRNA from 1 species